AGCAUGUGGUUAAUUCGACGCAACGCGAAGAACCUUACCAGGGCUUGACAUCCCCUGACCGCGUAUGAAAGUACGUUUUCACCCUCGGGUGACAGGGAGACAGGUGGUGCAUGGUUGUCGUCAGCUCGUGUCGUGAGAUGUUGGGUUAAGUCCCGCAACGAGCGCAACCCCUACGUUUAGUUGCUAACGCGUGAAGGCGAGCACUCUAGACGAACUGCCGUUGGCAAAACGGAGGAAGGUGGGAUGACGUCAAAUCAUCAUGCCCCUUAUGUUCUGGGCUACACACGUGCUACAAUGGCCGGUACAGACGGACGCAAAGCCGCGAGGUGGAGCAAAUCCUAAAAACCGGUCUCAGUUCGGAUUGCAGUCUGCAACUCGACUGCAUGAAGUCGGAAUCGCUGGUAAUCGCUGAUCAGCAGGCAGCGGUGAAUACGUUUCCGGGCCUU
rnacentral:rRNA from 1 species